rnacentral:rRNA from 1 species
CGCUGGCGGCAGGCCUAACACAUGCAAGUCGAGCGGUAGAGAGAAGCUUGCUUCUCUUGAGAGCGGCGGACGGGUGAGUAAUGCCUAGGAAUCUGCCUGGUAGUGGGGGAUAACGUUCGGAAACGGACGCUAAUACCGCAUACGUCCUACGGGAGAAAGCAGGGGACCUUCGGGCCUUGCGCUACCAGAUGAGCCUAGGUCGGAUUAGCUAGUUGGUGAGGUAAUGGCUCACCAAGGCGACGAUCCGUAACUGGUCUGAGAGGAUGAUCAGUCACACUGGAACUGAGACACGGUCCAGACUCCUACGGGAGGCAGCAGUGGGGAAUAUUGGACAAUGGGCGAAAGCCUGAUCCAGCCAUGCCGCGUGUGUGAAGAAGGUCUUCGGAUUGUAAAGCACUUUAAGUUGGGAGGAAGGGCAGUAAAUUAAUACUUUGCUGUUUUGACGUUACCGACAGAAUAAGCACCGGCUAACUCUGUGCCAGCAGCCGCGGUAAUACAGAGGGUGCAAGCGUUAAUCGGAAUUACUGGGCGUAAAGCGCGCGUAGGUGGUUUGUUAAGUUGGAUGUGAAAUCCCCGGGCUCAACCUGGGAACUGCAUUCCAAAACUGACUGAUUAGAGUAGGGUGGAGGGUGGUGGAAUUUCCCGGGUAGCGGGAAAAUGGGUAGAUAUAGGAAGGAACACCAGUGGCGAAAGCGACCCCCUGGGACUAAUACUGACACUGAGGUGCGAAAGCGGGGGGAGCAAACAGGAUUAGAUACCCUGGUAGUCCACGCCGUAAACGAUGUCAACUAGCCGUUGGAAGCCUUGAGCUUUUAGUGGCGCAGCUAACGCAUUAAGUUGACCGCCUGGGGAGUACGGCCGCAAGGUUAAAACUCAAAUGAAUUGACGGGGGCCCGCACAAGCGGUGGAGCAUGUGGUUUAAUUCGAAGCAACGCGAAGAACCUUACCAGGCCUUGACAUCCAAUGAACUUUCUAGAGAUAGAUCGGUGCCUUCGGGAACAUUGAGACAGGUGCUGCAUGGCUGUCGUCAGCUCGUGUCGUGAGAUGUUGGGUUAAGUCCCGUAACGAGCGCAACCCUUGUCCUUAGUUACCAGCACGUAAUGGUGGGCACUCUAAGGAGACUGCCGGUGACAAACCGGAGGAAGGUGGGGAUGACGUCAAGUCAUCAUGGCCCUUACGGCCUGGGCUACACACGUGCUACAAUGGUCGGUACAGAGGGUUGCCAAGCCGCGAGGUGGAGCUAAUCCCACAAAACCGAUCGUAGUCCGGAUCGCAGUCUGCAACUCGACUGCGUGAAGUCGGAAUCGCUAGUAAUCGCGAAUCAGAAUGUCGCGGUGAAUACGUUCCCGGGCCU